rnacentral:lncRNA from 1 species
UGAACUCAAGAAGAAAAUGGAGAAGUUUAAGUUGAGCUUACCUCUUGGGGUCCAGAUUGCAGCUGAAAUAAACUCUCUAUGAUUUUUGGUGCAUAAAGGAAGGAGGGGGAAUCGUAGUUGGUGAUUUUCAGGCUACUAUGAAGCCCUCAAUUUAUAGGCAGAUUAGGCCGCAAAACUUGAAAACUAUUUACAGCAAAUGUGGAAAUUUUGCUGCAACUUUUGACAAAAAUGAAAUUGGUUGGUGGCUGCCAUAAUUUUUUUUGACUAAUAGUGGAAUUUCAUGUGAGACUUUGAAAAGUGGAGUACUCAUAGGGUGCGUCUGAUCCUAGUUGUAUCUUAGCAUGCUUCAAAUAUUAAAUUGUGACUUUUGC